rnacentral:misc_RNA from 1 species
GAAAUGCGAUAAGUAGUGUGAAUUGCAGAAUUUAGCGAAUCAUCGAAUCUUUGAACGCUCAUUGCGCCCCUUGGUAUUCCAUGGGGCAUGCCUGUUCGAGCGUCAUUUGUACCCUCAAGCUCUGCUUGGUGUUGGGUGUUUGUCCCCGUCUCCGCGCGUGGACUCGCCCCAAAGUGAUUGGCAGCCGGCGUACUGGUCCCGGAGCGCAGCACAUGUCGCGCAAACGAGUGCCUUGGUACGGCGGCGUCCAUAAGCCCCUCUCUCACGCUCUUGACCUCGGAUCAGGUAGGGAUACCCGCUGAACUUAAGC